rnacentral:lncRNA from 1 species
AUUGUAGGGCACUGAAAAAGGAGGAGGGGGUGAAGAAGCAGCAGCUAUCCUCUUGAGAAUGAAAAGGAAGAGAGUACAAGUAGCACAACAGCUGGGGGGGGGGGAGGCUGAGAUUUCAGGGCCGAAGCAAUGUGGGAGGUUUAGGGAUGGUUUGGUUUUUUGCCCCUUUGAAAGAGAAGCUCCCCCUCAAGCUCCACUCAUGUGAAGUGGCUCCCCGGUGCCAAAGGCUUGCCAGCAGAGCACAGGCUCAGGUCCAUCAACACGGCAGAAGAUUCCAAGCACUGCCCUGGUGAUGGAAGACCCUCCAUCUGCCAUCCCAGAGCUGGACUCCCGAAGGCUGGAGGAGACCAUGCCCAGGUUGAACAUAAGGCCCCAAGCUACGUUUCAGAGGGGUGCGUGGAGAACAACCAGUGACACAGCUGGCACCGUAGACCCCCGAGGUUAAAUUACUGGCCAAGUUCUCACAUCUAAUUCCCCAACAGUUACUUUCCACCAAGAAAACUGUCUCCGACUAUACCCCUGAUCCCUUCUAAUUGAAAGCCCCUGGUCACAAGGGAUGGGUGACUCAGCACAAAUCCAUCACCAUUACUGAAACAACUGAAGGAGUUCUUUGGACUUUGUAUCAGUAGCCUCAUCAUCUCCUACAAAGGACAAAGCACAUCAUUACUGUCAGACUCACACUUGGGUCCCUCCAGCAAGUUGUCUUCCAACAUGGAAUUUAGCAAGAGAAGAGAAGUUUUUGUAUAUGAUUAAGACGGCUCUCUUGGUUCAGGUCUCUCGUGCCCCCAACUUGGCAAAACUGCCUAUAGUCAUUAUUUCAACUGCCUGCAGUUAUUAUUUCAAAAUGUUCAGACUCCCAUUCAACACUACCAGUUUCAACAUCUUCACAUCCAAAUAGGAUUCUUCACUUACGGACUGGUAAUUUAGUAAAGGAAAGUACAAGUACGUGCGAUCUUGUUCUAGACAAUUUGGGAAGCUCAGUAAAAUGGAGGAAAUCUUUCUGCAGAUACAACUAAUUACUUCUCUGGGCCUAAGGGUUGGCUUUUCUAAAAAUAAAAAUAAUAAUAAUAAUUUUACA